rfam:Triticum aestivum genome assembly, contig: Triticum_aestivum_CS42_TGACv1_scaffold_394455_5AS
GAUGUACUCCCUCCGUUCCGAAUUACUUGUCUUGGAUUUGUCUAGAUACGGAGGUAUCUAGCACUAAAAUGAGUCUAGAUACAUCCGUAUCUAGACAAAUCCAAGACAAGUAAUUCGGAACGGAGGGAGUAUAUA